rfam:Schistosoma curassoni strain Dakar, Senegal genome assembly, scaffold: SCTD_scaffold0010386
AUCCAGCUGACGAGUCCCAAAUAGAACGUCCUGGAU